GGGGGGCCUCGGGUCCAAGCAGAGGCUGGAACAAGGUAGAGCAGGGUGCAAAGGGGGGACAUGAGGCAAACCCUGAUUUCCUCUCUUAGCCGGUGUGAUUUUCUGCCUUAUUAACCCCUGGGGGACUCUGCUUCCUUAUUUGUGAAACACAGGCAGUAAUUACAUCAACUGAAUGGGAUAUCUGAGAACACUGAAUGGACAGUAAGCGCUUAGGAUAGUUCCGUAGCAUUGAAACGGCAGCUGUUCCUAUUGGAUUUUUUGCCCAGAUACAAAAAUGCCUCUGUGUGACUUACAGGGCAAACGCAGGUCCCUCUCCUCCUGGAGGGCUGACAGCCUUGGAGACGGAUCACAUCACAGCUUCCCAGUUCCUGCCCCUGAUGUGCCAAUGCAGACCGGAAGGCUGGCUUGAGCUAAAACAGGCACCUGAAUAAAAUCCGGAUGUAACAACAAUGGGGAAGAAAUGUUUUAGAAAGACUACUUAUUGAAAGAGUGGAAACUAGGUUUCUUUACCACCGUUCUGACACCAACUCCAGCGUGUGUGGGUUUUCCCACACCACCAAGCAAUUCUCAGACGCCUGCAGGAUGUCCUACAGUUCAACUCAAUUCUGAGGCUACCUGGAGAGAGCGUCAGACGCUGCAGGUUAAGGGCUCAGCCCCACCAGACCACCCCCGACCCUCCCGCCACUUCAGAUGCCAACUGUCAGUCCAGGUUGUCACCUGUGCUUCUGAGGGGCUGUAGAUUGGAGGUUCCCACGACUCCCAACUUGGGUUCAAUCAAUUUACUAGAGUGGCUCACAGAAUUCAGGAAACCAGUUUUCUUACUAGAUUACUGAUUUAUUACUAAAGGAUAUAACUCAGGAACAGAGCCAGAUGGGAGAGAUGCAUAGGCCAAGGUAUGGGGAUAGGGUUUGGAGAUUCCAGUCCUCUCUGAGCACUCCACUCCCUGAAUGCCCAUGUGGUCACCAAACCAGAAGUUCUCAGAAUCCAAGUCCUUUGGCGUUUUUAUGGAGGCUUCAUUACAUAGGCCUGAUUGGUUAAAUUAUUGGCCAUUGGUGAUUGAUUCAACCUCCAGCCCCUCUCCCCUCCCUGGCAAUCAGAGGUUGGGACUGAAAGUUCUAACCCUCUAUUCCUGGUUGGUUCCCUUGGCAACCAGCCCCCCUUAGGU